GAUAUUGUCCCUAAGAGAACGAGAUGCUCUUUGCAGAAGACAUAGAAACCUGGAGAAGAGUGAAGAAGGCAUUUUCCCUCCCCUGCUUAGGCAUCUGCCACCAUAUUCAAUACUUUCUCCAGGGUUCUCAGGUUUCCCAUUGGCUUGGAAUUUGUCAAUUAGUUUUGCUGGCUGGACAGAAAGCCACACGGAUCCUCUUGUCUUGGUCUCCUGACAUUUGGAUUAAAGUCACCUGGAGGUGCAGGCCAUCGCUAUGUUAAACCUAUGAGGUGAUGAUAAACCACACAA
rnacentral:lncRNA from 1 species